UCAGACGAUGCGUCAUGUAUAUCAAUAAGCGGAGGAAAAGAAACUAACAAGGAUUCCCCUAGUAACGGCGAGUGAAGCGGGAAGAGCUCAAAUUUGAAAUCUUAAAGGGUUUCCCUUUACGAAUUGUAGUUUAAAGAAGUGUUUUCUGUUGAGGUUUUGGUAAAAGUUCUUUGGAAUAGGACAUCAUAGAGGGUGAGAAUCCCGUAUUUGACCUUUACUUUCAACUUUGUGAUACACUUUCAAAGAGUCGGAUUGUUUGGGAAUGCAGUCCAAAAUGGGUGGUAAAUUUCAUCUAAAGCUAAAUAUUGGCGAGAGACCGAUAGCGAACAAGUACCGUGAGGGAAAGAUGAAAAGAACUUUGAAAAGAGAGUUAAACAGUACGUGAAAUUGUCAAAAGGGAAGCGUUUGACACCAGUGUUGUUUUUCUGAAAAUCAAUUAAAGAACUGUUUAUGCUAAGCUGUUUAGACUUUAUCAGCUAUCUGUUUAGUUUUGAGCUUUUCUUUAAUGCACUUUUCAGUUAACAAGUCAACAUCAAUUUCUUUUGCUGUAAAAAAGCUUGAGGAAGGUGGCUUGAGAUUCGUCUUAAGUGUUUAUAGCCUCUUGCCUAUGCAGUCGGAGAGAUCGAGGUCUGCAGCGUAGAUCCUUCGGGGCUAAAUGCAUUUGUGCUAAGUUAUAGCAUUUUAUAGACAACUUGUUGACUAUGAUUUGUCUUGUAGCUUACUCGCUUAUGUUAUUUUACCUACGCUUAGGAUGUUGACACACGCGCGUGCUCG
rnacentral:rRNA from 1 species